rnacentral:misc_RNA from 1 species
UUUCCGUAGGUGAACCUGCGGAAGGAUCAUUACCGAGUUAAGGUCUUCUAGGCCCGUCCUCCCAACCCUUUGUUUACCAAACCUAUGUUGCUUCGGCUGGCCCCUCUUUAUUGACCGCCGGAGGCCUUUCCGUUAUAAUCGUCCUCUCGCCCGUGCCUGUCGAUGGCCCAACCCCUAAAACUCUUAUUAUAUCCUAUCAUGAUUGUCUGAAACCAGUGAUUUGAACUAAACAAAAACUUUCAACAACGGAUCUCUUGGUUCUGGCAUUGUUGAAGAACG